rnacentral:ncRNA from 1 species
AAAAAGCAUCAAGAACGCGAAUGCGUACCAACCGACAGCUCGUUGCACGGUGGUUUAGAAUGCGGGGGUCCUCCCAAAUUAACGAGAAAU